rnacentral:rRNA from 1 species
UACGUAGGGUGCGAGCGUUAAUCGGAAUUACUGGGCGUAAAGCGUGCGCAGGCGGUUAUGCAAGACAGAUGUGAAAAUCCCCCGGGGCUCAACCUGGGAACUGCAUUUGUGACUGCAUAGCUAGAGUACGGUAGAGGGGGAUGGAAUUCCGCGUGUAGCAGUGAAAUGCGUAGAUAUGCGGAGGAACACCGAUGGCGAAGGCAUCCCCUGGACCUGUACUGACGCUCAUGCACGAAAGCGUGGGGAACAAACAGG